GAAUUCUUACUUGGUUUUCUUUUCUUUUCAGUCAGUACUGCUCCCCAACCUAAGCCAAAGAGUCAAGUACCAUUGGCCAGGAUCAAACACUUAUGGAACGUGAUACAGAGGGUGGUGCAGCAGAAAUUAAUUGCAAUGGAGUGAUUGAAGUCAUUAAUUAUACUCAGAACAGUAAUAAUGAAACAUUGAGACAUAAAGAGGAUCUACAUAAUGCUAAUGACUGUGAUGUCCAAAAUUUGAAUCAGGAAUCUAGUUUCUUAAGCUCCCAAAAUGGAGACAGCAGCACAUCUCAAGAAACAGACUCUUGCACACCUAUAACAUCUGAGGUGUCAGACACCAUGGUGUGCCAAUCUUCCUCAACUGUAGAUCA
rnacentral:sRNA from 1 species